rnacentral:rRNA from 1 species
AGAGUUUGAUCCUGGCUCAGGACGAACGCUGGCGGCGUGCUUAACACAUGCAAGUCGAACGGUGAAGUCCCUUCGGGGGCGGAUCAGUGGCGAACGGGUGAGUAACACGUGGGCAAUCUGCCCCUCACUGUGGGAUAACUCCGGGAAACCGGGGCUAAUACCGCAUAUGAAGCCUGGCGGCAUCGCCGGGUUUGGAAAGUUUUUCGGUGGGGGAUGAGCCCGCGGCCUAUCAGCUUGUUGGUGAGGUAAUGGCUCACCAAGGCGACGACGGGUAGCCGGCCUGAGAGGGCGACCGGCCACACUGGGACUGAGACACGGCCCAGACUCCUACGGGAUGCAGCAGUGGGGAAUAUUGGGCAAUGGGCGAAAGCCUGACCCAGCGACGCCGCGUGCGGG